UUCUUCUAUNUUUUCCUCCUUGACAACCUUAUCAUUUGUAAAGAUAGUGGCUUGACAUUCUUCUUUAGGGUUAACUUCAGUAUUAACCCUAAUAAUGCCCAGAGACUUCAAGACCUUUGUUAUCUCAUCUUCCUCUAUCUUCUCUCCAUUAAUAACCUUGUCAUCCUCAAAGAUAGGAGCUUGACAUUCUUCCUUAGGGUUAACUUCAGUAUUAACCCUAAUAAUACCCAGAGACUUUAACGCAUGAGAGUGUUGUUCCUACAAUAAACGUUCUUUGGCUUCCCCCAAC
rnacentral:lncRNA from 1 species